rnacentral:rRNA from 1 species
UACGUAGGGUGCGAGCGUUGUCCGGAAUUAUUGGGCGUAAAGGGCUCGUAGGCGGUCUGUUGCGUCGGGAGUGAAAACUCAGGGCUUAACCCUGAGCCUGCUUCCGAUACGGGCAGACUAGAGGUAUGCAGGGGAGAACGGAAUUCCUGGUGUAGCGGUGAAAUGCGCAGAUAUCAGGAGGAACACCGGUGGCGAAGGCGGAUCUCUGGGCCGAUACUGACGCUGAGGAGCGAAAGCGUGGGGAGCGAACAGG